CCUACAUAUAUAUAUAUAUUAAGGGAAAUGUUGUUACAUGAAUCUCCUUCAACUCUUCCCAAAAUAUAAUGGGAUAUGCACCAGCACCAGCACAGCAGCAAACAUCAUAUGAUGAUCGUAUUCGCAUGCGCCGUGAAGAAAAAGGAAGCCUCUAUGCUUGUUUCUAUGCACUCUGUUGCUGCUUUUGCUGCUAUGAGAGUUGCAAGUGUUGCUCGGAACGCACCUGCUGUUGCUGUCCCUAGGUUGCCAAACUUCCAAAAGGCCUAUGCCGAGUUUACAUUUCAUCGCUGCUGUUGUAUGAAAUGAUGAUUUUGGGAGCCAUUAAUGAAUAAUCUUUAAAUACUUGCAAUAAAUUUGAGUUUUUGUUGUGACAUUGUUCAAGAACAUUUGAAUCCUUUAUUAAAGAAAGCAAGUGCUGCAGAACAAGCAGUAGGAGAAAUUUAGUGCCGAGAUCACUCGCAUGAUGAUAAUCAUGAUUUUCGCUAAUAAUACAUUUAUCAAUAACUAGUAGUCCAUGUUUC